GAUGAAGAACGUAGUGAAAUGCGAUAAGUAAUGUGAAUUACAGAAUUCAGUGAAUCAUCGAAUCUUUGAACGCACAUUGCGCCCGCCAGUAUUCUGGCGGGCAUGCCUGUUCGAGCGUCAUUUCAACCAUCAAGCCCCCGGCUUGUGUUGGGGACCUGCGGCUGCCGCAGGCCCUGAAAAGCAGUGGCGGGCUCGCUGUCACACCGAGCGUAGUAGCAUACAUCUCGCUCUGGGCGUGCUGCGGGUUCCGGCCGUUAAACCACCUUCAUAACCCAAGGUUGACCUCGGAUCAGGUAGGAAGACCCGCUGAACUUAAGCAUAUCAUAGCGGAGGA
rnacentral:misc_RNA from 1 species